GUGACCAGCGGAGGGAUCAUUACCGAGUUUACAACUCCCAAACCCAAUGUGAACCCUACCAAACUGUUGCCUCGGCGGGGUCACGCCCCGGGUGCGUCGCAGCCCCGGAACCAGGCGCCCGCCGGAGGGACCAACCAAACUCUUUACUGUAGUCCCCUCGCGGACGUUAUUUCUUACAGCUCUGAGCAAAAAAUUCAAAAUGAAUCAAAACUUUCAACAACGGAUCUCUUGGUUCUGGCAUCGAUGAAGAACGCAGCGAAAUGCGAUAAGUAAUGUGAAUUGCAGAAUUCAGUGAAUCAUCGAAUCUUUGAACGCACAUUGCGCCCGCCAGUAUUCUGGCGGGCAUGCCUGUCCGAGCGUCAUUUCAACCCUCGAACCCCUCCGGGGGGUCGGCGUUGGGGAUCGGGAACCCCUCAGACGGGAUCCCGGCCCCGAAAUACAGUGGCGGUCUCGCCGCAGCCUCUCCUGCGCAGUAGUUUGCACAACUCGCACCGGGAGCGCGGCGCGUCCACGUCCGUAAAACACCCAACUUUCUGAAAUGUUGACCUCGGAUCAGGUAGGAAUACCCGCUGAACUUAAGCAUAUCAAUAAGGCGGAGG
rnacentral:rRNA from 1 species